UAAAAGUAUGGACACGAGAGGAAUUUCUGUACCUUCGGUUUUCUCUCCUGCUUUUCCUGAAGAGAGUUCCACAAAAAGUGAAAUAAUUACAUCAAUGUCUUCCUAUAGGAUUUCUCUACUUCACAUUCAGAAUUAAACAUCUGUUGUAACAAAAGUCUUAUUUAAGACAUACCACCAGGUGAGCUGGAAAACCCAUGUGAAACAUUUCUUUACUCUUAGCUUAUCAGCCAGCUACAUUCACCACCAGACAUUUUAUGCAGUUAGGGGCAGUAAUUUCUCCUUAAACUGCUUUGCUAACACACCACGAGGACUUCUUCAUUAUAACUCCUGCCUUGAAGACAGCCCCUCUGGGUCUCACAUUUGCUUUCCACAGCAGCAAACUGAGCAGAGCACAGCUGACAAUGCAGGAUCCAGAGAGUAGAAACUGUAAGCAACCCAGGAGUAUCAGUUUGCUCAACCAUGCUCCUCCUACACACAAGAUUAAAAUUCCCUGCUGCAGCAUUUGUUAGCUUCUCUCGUUCUGUUCAGUGUGAUGGCCCAGAAAGCUGUGGUAUUAAAUCAAACCAGUAUUUACAAAGAUAAAGAGCUGUAUCCAGCAUUCAGAAGAAGCUCUGUGAGUUUGCACAUUUGAGCUAUGUGCCACAGUCAUGCCUGAGUUUGGAAGGAAUAUGACCACAUCAAGGAAAGUACUCCAAACUGGAUUUGACUAAAACUCAAAAGAUGGACUAAUCUGAAUACCACAGAACUGAACAGUGGAUAAUGUUGCGGGUACAAAUGGCAGUCUCACCACUGAGAAGAAAACAAGCUGUAUAUCAUUAGGGGUUUAUCUGUUGUAUCCCCUGCCAUGAUUUUUGUGGGGCUGGUCCUACACAGAUUUUAACUCUUGCUGUGGUUUUUGUUACAUAGUCAGUUCAUGUUAUGAUGAAGACAGAAAGAAGGGAAAGAUGCCUGUGAUAUCUCAAGGACAUUUUCAUCAAAGAUGCCCAGAGUCAGUCUAGUUCAAAGAGCUAAGAAGGACAGCCAGUGAUUCUGCUUACUGAACUGAUGAAUCCCAAUAGUUUCUUAUCAGCCAUCUGACCUGCUUUCUUCUCUGGCAACACACUAAUUCAUAUUAAAUCUGUAUAUGGUGCAAAGUGUCGUGUUUCAUUAUCUGGGUAAGUCCCGGGAUGGGCAGAGUGCAGCAGCAUACAGUGCUGGGGAGGGGGAUGUGGGGGCAGCCUUCACUGCUAAUGCAGAGCUGAGAACAAGCAGCUUUGACUUGGCUGAGUCUAUCUGCCAAACUAGUGACUUCUGCUGGGAAACAGAACUUUCCCCCUCUUUCUUUAGAUCCCAGCUGAGCUUCAAUGCUCUGUGUUUCUCUCUAACAGGAAAGCUGUCUUCUCUCCUCCUCUGCCAUCUGUGCUCCAUCCUUAUUCUCACAUGUGACUUACUGUAGCUGCAGCCUCAUUAACUUUCAAUACUUGCAGCCUAACACGACUUAACUGGGGGGCUUGAAAGGAGAGGUAGGGC
ensembl:lncRNA